rnacentral:rRNA from 1 species
GACGAACGCUGGCGGCGUGCUUAACACAUGCAAGUCGAACGGAAAGGCCCUGCUUUUGUGGGGUGCUCGAGUGGCGAACGGGUGAGUAACACGUGAGUAACCUGCCCUUGACGUUGGGAUAACUUCAGGAAACUGGGGCUAAUACCGGAUAGGAGCUCCUGCUGCAUGGUGGGGGUUGGAAAGUUUCGGCGGUUGGGGAUGGACUCGCGGCUUAUCAGCUUGUUGGUGGGGUAGUGGCUUACCAAGGCUUUGACGGGUAGCCGGCCUGAGAGGGUGACCGGCCACAUUGGGACUGAGAUACGGCCCAGACUCCUACGGGAGGCAGCAGUGGGGAAUAUUGCACAAUGGGCGGAAGCCUGAUGCAGCAACGCCGCGUGCGGGAUGACGGCCUUCGGGUUGUAAACCGCUUUCGCCUGUGACGAAGCGUGAGUGACGGUAAUGGGUAAAGAAGCACCGGCUAACUACGUG